AUCAUUUGGGAACAAAGGAAAGAAGUGCCCAUGCUGUGCUACAGGAUCCAUGCCCAGAUCUAGUGGGAAAUGGCGUUAUUUGAGUUCAGAUCUGGCCCUGGAGAGGUGUGGCAUCAUUCAGUUUAUCCUUAGGACAAGGAGAGCUGGAAAUCUGAAUUGACCUUUUGAUCUCAACCGCAAGGAGGAAUCCAUGGAUCUGUUGCACAGAAGGGAGAGCUUUUUGUAGGCUGGGAACUGUCCCUGCAUCUCCUGAGUGCUGCCUGGGAGGGUGGAUGUGCUGGAGAGCGAGGUGCUGCCCUGAAGGAGGAAAAAGCUCCAGUGGAUGCAUGGAACUCGUUCAAGGUGGUGAGAACUCCUCGUGGAAUCCCAGGAGAACUGGAGGAAGAGUGGGGGGAACUGGAGGAAGAGUGGGGAGAACUGGAGGAAGCAGCACGAGCCAUGGUGGGGGAUGAGGCCUGGAGAGUGAUUUUUGACAGGGCCAGGCAGUGAUGGAUGGCAGGGAAUGGUUUUAAACUAAAAGG